UGUGAUUCAUGACUGGGGUGAAGUCGUAACAAGGUAACCGUAGGGGAACCUGCGGUUGGAUCACCUCCUUACCUUAAAGAA
rnacentral:rRNA from 12 species